rnacentral:lncRNA from 1 species
UCUCCUGCACGCGUUUUCCUUUUUCUUGCUUGCUGUCGACAGCCUCAUCUCACCGUCCCCAUGUGCGGCUCUUUUCCGUCGUUAUCCCUCGUCUGAAUCAACUCUCCUAUUUUUCAAGUAUCAAGCUACGUUUUCCCCCUUUUUAAUUUCCUCCAAUUUUGCCCUAAUUCUUUCUAUGUGAUUUUAUAAUUAUUCAUUUGUAGUAAUUCUUUUUUUGCUAAAUCAUUUAUAUAGUACUCUUGCUUCCGGGUCAUGUUUAUUUGCAUUGGUGUGCUAAUUUAUUCACUUUUGAAUGGAAGAAAGAGCCAUCUGUACUAGCUUUGAUUAUUAUUGAUGGUGAUAACUCGUUUGGUAGCUACGACUGCAUCAUUAUUUCUUAUGUGAAUGGUUUCUCAGUUGUCAUAAUAUCUAUUUUAGUUUUAAGAAAUGGGAAUAAUGAAGUUUGAAUUAGUCUACUUCCAUAAUUUUGUGAUAUUUGAUGUCAUGAUAUCACUUUUUGUGUAAACAAAAUCAGGGUCAGCGCCCUUGAAGAGUUAGAGUUUCAUGAGUUUGUUGAGCCUCUCAAAGCUUCUCUUGAAGGUUAAAAAAUUCUCCAUAUUUGUUGGGCUCUUUUUGGUGGAUUCAGUUUUAACAUAUCCUUUGUUAAGGUAGAAAAUUUGUAAUUUGGAUGAAUGAAUUGAUUAGAGUCUAGUACGUUAUAAUUUGACACACUUAAUUUGAAUUAGACAAGGUGGGUCGCAUACAUGUUCUGUUUAUGUUCUUCUUUUCUGUUUUGGGUAAAAACAGAUUGACCAUUAGGUUUGCUAGCUUGUGGGGUUUGAAAUUCAAUCGAUACAACUAUUGUAGAAUGGAAGAUAUUGUAUACUGCAUUCUUUUGUUAGAUUGAAUUCUGUAUGAACUUCUCGUAUCUAUUAA